UGGGAAUUUGGACAAUGGCGAAGCCUGAUCCAGCAAUGCCGCGUGUGUGAAGAAGGCCUUCGGGUUGUAAAGCACUUUUGUCCGGAAAGAAAUCCUUGGCUCUAAUACAGUCGGGGGAUGACGGUACCGGAAGAAUAAGCACCGGCUAACUACGUGCCAGCAGCCGCGGUAAUACGUAGGGUGCAAGCGUUAAUCGGAAUUACUGGCGUAAAGCGUGCGCAGGCGGUUUGCUAAGACCGAUGUGAAAAUCCCCGGGCUCAACCUGGGAACUGCAUUGGUGACUGGCAGGCUAGAGUAUGGCAGAGGGGGGUAGAAUUCCACGUGUAGCAGUGAAAUGCGUAGAGAUGUGGAGGAAUACCGAUGGCGAAGGCAGCCCCCUGGGCCAAAUACUGACGCUCAUGCACGAAAAGCGUGGGGAGCAAAACAGGAUUAGAUACCCUGGUAGUCCACGCCCUAAAACGAUGUCAACUAGUUGUUGGGGAUUCAUUUCCUUAGUAACGUAGCUAACGCGUGAAGUUGACCGCCUGGGGAGUACGGUCGCAAGAUUAAAACUUAAAUGAAUUGACGGGGUCAUAGCU
rnacentral:rRNA from 1 species